CCAGAGACCGCAAGUGAUGUAUAAAAUUUUUUUUUGAAUAUAGAAUAGGACUAGGAGUUUGUUUGGGUUUGGCUUGGGCUAAAUUUAGUCUAUGAGCAAUUCUUUAUGUAUCGCACGUGAUGCAGAAAAUUGAGCACCACAUGAGGUGAUUUGACGCAGGUCCAGAGAUGUCGAUAAAAAUUUUAUUUUAUUUUUUUUUAGUUUCAUACCAGAGC
rnacentral:lncRNA from 1 species